rnacentral:rRNA from 1 species
CGCCGUCCGAAAUAACGAUCGGUAGUACCUGCCCGGUGCCUGGUGUGGGUAAACGGCGGCCGUAAUCUGACGGUCUGAAAGUAGCGAAAUUCCUCGCCCCUUAAUUGGGGGACUGCAUGAAGGUUUGACGAGAGCCCUACUGUCUCUUGUCUUGAGAGAUUGAAACUUAGCUAGAGGUGCAGACGCCUUUGUAGUGAAGUCAGACAAAAAGACCCCGUGCAACUUUGAAGAGAGGCAGCCGUUGUUUAUAGCCCCUUGAUUUUUAGGUGGGGUACCUGGGAAGUAAACAAAAUCUUCUCUUGACUCAAGAACACGACAUGUGGUGAUCCAGAAUGUCUGAUAGUCGGAUAAGUUACGCCGGGGAUAACAGGGCAAUCCUGCAGUAGAGAGCGUAUUAGCUGCGGGGAUUACCACCUCGAUGUUGAAUCAGGGAUGAUACCUUUGUGGUUGCAGAAGCUACAGGGGCGGGUCUGUUCGACCUUUAAACCCCU